GACGAACGCUGGCGGCGUGCUUAACACAUGCAAGUCGAGCGGUAAGGCCCUUUCGGGGGUACACGAGCGGCGAAACGGGUGGGUAACACGUGGGUGACCUGCCCUCAGCUCUGGGAUAAGCCUGGGAAACCGGGUCUAAUACUGGAUAUGACUCCAUGACGCAUGUUGUGGGGUGGAAAGCCUUGUGCGGCUGAGGAUGGGCCCGCGGCCUAUCAGCUUGUUGGUGGGGUGAUGGCCUACCAAGGCGACGACGGGUAGCCGGCCUGAGAGGGCGACCGGCCACACUGGGACUGAGACACGGCCCAGACUCCUACGGGAGGCAGCAGUGGGGAAUCUUGCGCAAUGGGCGAAAGCCUGACGCAGCGACGCCGCGUGAGGGAUGACGGCC
rnacentral:rRNA from 1 species